rnacentral:rRNA from 1 species
CGGGGAAUAUUGCGCAAUGGGGGGAACCCUGACGCAGCCAUGCCGCGUGAAUGAAGAAGGCCUUCGGGUUGUAAAGUUCUUUCGGUAUUGAGGAAGGUUGAUGUGUUAAUAGCACAUCAAAUUGACGUUAAAUACAGAAGAAGCACCGGCUAACUCCGUGCCAGCAGCCGCGGUAAUACGGAGGGUGCGAGCGUUAAUCGGAAUAACUGGGCGUAAAGGGCACGCAGGCGGUUAUUUAAGUGAGGUGUGAAAGCCCUGGGCUUAACCUAGGAAUUGCAUUUCAGACUGGGUAACUAGAGUACUUUAGGGAGGGGUAGAAUUCCACGUGUAGCGGUGAAAUGCGUAGAGAUGUGGAGGAAUACCGAAGGCGAAGGCAGCCCCUUGGGAAUGUACUGACGCUCAUGUGCGAAAGCGUGGGGAGCAAACAGGAUUAGAUACCCUGGUAGUCCACGCUGUAAACGCUGUCGAUUUGGGGAUUGGGCUUAGAGCUUGGUGCCCGUAGCUAACGUGAUAAAUCGACCGCCUGGGGAGUACGGCCGCAAGGUUA